rnacentral:rRNA from 1 species
UGGUGAAUAUUGGGCAAUGGGCGCAAGCCUGACCCAGCAACGCCGCGUGAGGGAAGAAGGCCUUCGGGUUGUAAACCUCUGUCCUUGGUGACGAAAAAAAUGACGGUAGCCAAGGAGGAAGCCCCGGCUAACUACGUGCCAGCAGCCGCGGUAAUACGUAGGGGGCGAGCGUUGUCCGGAAUUACUGGGCGUAAAGGGUGCGUAGGUGGCCUUUUAAGUUGGAUGUGAAAUACCCGGGCUUAACUUGGGGGGUGCAUCUAAUACUGGAGGGCUAGAGUGCAGGAGAGGGAAGCGGAAUUCCUAGUGUAGCGGUGAAAUGCGUAGAUAUUAGGAGGAACACCAGUGGCGAAGGCGGCUUUCUGGACUGUAACUGACACUGAGGCACGAAAGCGUGGGGAGCAAACAG